rnacentral:rRNA from 1 species
UACGGGGGGAGCAAGCGUUGUUCGGAUUUACUGGGCGUAAAGGGCGCGUAGGCGGCCAGCACAAGUCAGUUGUGAAAUCUCCGGGCUUAACUCGGAAAGGUCAACUGAUACUGUGCGGCUAGAGUGCAGAAGGGGCAACUGGAAUUCUCGGUGUAGCGGUGAAAUGCGUAGAUAUCGAGAGGAACACCUGCGGCGAAGGCGGGUUGCUGGGCUGACACUGACGCUGAGGCGCGAAAGCCAGGGGAGCGAACGGG